CUACGGGUGGCUGCAGGGAGGAAUAUUGCACAAUGGGGGGAACCCUGAUGCAGCAACGCCGCGUGGAGGAUGACGCAUUUCGGUGUGUAAACUCCUUUUAUAUGUCAAGAAAAUGACGGUAGCAUAUGAAUAAGCACCGGCUAACUCCGUGCCAGCAGCCGCGGUAAUACGGAGGGUGCAAGCGUUACUCGGAAUCACUGGGCGUAAAGGACGCGUAGGCGGGUUGGAAAGUCAGGUGUGAAGUCCUACAGCUUAACUGUAGAACUGCACUUGAAACUUCUAAUCUAGAGUAUGGGAGGGGGAGAUGGAAUUAGUGGUGUAGGGGUAAAAUCCGUAGAUAUCACUAGGAAUACCUAAAGCGAAGGCGAUCUCCUGGAACAUUACUGACGCUAAGGCGUGAAAGCGUGGGGAGCAAACAGGAUUAGAUACCCUCGUAGUC
rnacentral:rRNA from 1 species